GACGAACGCUGGCGGCGUGCUUAACACAUGCAAGUCGAACGGAAAGGCCCUGCUUGCAGGGUACUCGAGUGGCGAACGGGUGAGUAACACGUGGGUGAUCUGCCCUGCACUUCGGGAUAAGCCUGGGAAACUGGGUCUAAUACCGGAUAGGAGCCAUUUUUAGUGUGAUGGUUGGAAAGUUUUUUCGGUGUAGGAUGAGCUCGCGGCCUAUCAGCUUGUUGGUGGGGUAAUGUCCUACCAAGGCGGCGACGGGUAGCCGGCCUGAGAGGGUGGACGGCCACAUUGGGACUGAGAUGCGGCCCAGACUCCUACGGGAGGCAGCAGUGGGGAAUAUUGCACAAUGGGCGCAAGCCUGAUGCAGCGACGCCGCGUGGGGGAUGACGGCCUUCGGGUUGUAAACUCCUUUCGCUAGGGACGAAGCUUUUUGUGACGGUACCUAGAUAAGAAGCACCGGCUAACUACGUG
rnacentral:rRNA from 1 species